UGGGGAAUAUUGGACAAUGGGCGAAAGCCUGAUCCAGCCAUGCCGCGUGUGUGAAGAAGGCCUUUUGGUUGUAAAGCACUUUAAGCGAGGAGGAGGCUACUUGGAUUAAUACUCUAGGAUAGUGGACGUUACUCGCAGAAUAAGCACCGGCUAACUCUGUGCCAGCAGCCGCGGUAAUACAGAGGGUGCGAGCGUUAAUCGGAUUUACUGGGCGUAAAGCGUGCGUAGGCGGCUUUUAAAGUCGGAUGUGAAAUCCCUGAGCUUAACUUAGGAAUUGCAUUCGAUACUGGGAAGCUAGAGUAUGGGAGAGGAUGGUAGAAUUCCAGGUGUAGCGGUGAAAUGCGUAGAGAUCUGGAGGAAUACCGAUGGCGAAGGCAGCCAUCUGGCCUAAAUACUGACGCUGAGGUACGAAAAGCAUGGGGAGCAAACAGGAUUAGAUACCCUGGUAGUCCAUGCCGUAAACGAUGUCUACUAGCCGUUGGGGCC
rnacentral:rRNA from 1 species